CAGUUUCAUUCAACUAAACAUUCUGUGUCGUGUACAGAAAAAUAACAAUAAUCAUCAAUAAAAAUAAAUACAAACAGUGACCGAUGCGUCACAUGACCCAGGGUGUCCAUGACCACUUCCGGGUUACCGGGUUACUUCCGGGUAAACAAACCAACGUUAAUGUUGGCGUUGUGUGUGCUUCGUGUUAAUGUAUGCAUGGGGAUGGUGAGUCGGCAACCUAGUGUGCACCCAGGGCUACCUGCAGAGGGAUAGGGACGGAAUGAAAAGGGUAAGCUGAUGUAAAUGACGUGUUACCGGGUCCGAGCGUGCGCGUCUAUGCGCACGUGUGUGUGUGUGCGAGCGUGUGUGCAUGCGUGUGCGCCUGCAGCGGCAGCUGACGGUUCUACACCGUCACAUCAUCCCCCUCCUCUGGGAGAUUGGCGAUGUGCGGCAAUCUGGACAGGAAAUCUGCCACUAUGUUUUGUUUUCCGGGACGGUGACGUACGUUAAAUUUGUACGGCUGAAGCGCCAGAUACCAGCGCGUAAGCCGGCUGUGGUGGUCCUUCAUGGUAUUUAUCCAUGUCAGGGCCCUGUGGUCUGUCUCAAGGUCGAAUUCUCUGCCAAGUAAGUAGUACCUCAAGCUAUCCAACGCCCACUUAAUGGCAAGUCCUUCCUUCUCCACAGUGGAGUACCUUGUCUCUCUCGGCUGCAGUUUCCGACUGAGGUACAGGACUGGUCGCUCUUCACCUGGGUCUCCCUGAGCCAGGACAGCACCAAGUCCGACUGCUGAGGCAUCCACUUGGACGAGGAACCUUUGAUCAAAGUCACGGGGUUUUUCUGCCUCUUCUCUGUAAGGGCAGUGAGAGGAGCUGCAAUGGUGGCGAACUGAUGGACAAACCGCCGGUACCAUCCAGCUAACCCCAGGAAGGAGCGUACCUCUUUCUUGGUGCGUGGUCGAGGGCAAUUGCGGAUAACUUCAACUUUAUCCACCUGCGGACGCACCUCACCACCUCCCAGCAGGUACCCCAGGUAACGAGUUUCCUUCCGGGCCCACUCACACUUGCUCACGUUUAAGGUCAGGCCUGCAUUUUGUAGUUUCCUCAGGACCAGACGCAGGUGAUCUAGGUGUUGCUCCCAGGUGUGACUGUAGAUCACCACGUCAUCCAAAUAGGCUGCACUACAGUGGUUACAUCCCUGCAGCACCCUGUCCAUCAGCCGUUGGAACGUGGCUGGUGCUCCAUGCAGACCAAAAGGCAUAACUGUAAACUGAAACAGUCCAGCAGGUGUUUUGAACGCCGUGUAUGGUCGACAGGUGUUGCUGAGAGGUACUUGCCAGUAACCCUUGCAUAGGUCAAGAGUGGUGAUGAAAUUAGCAGCCCCGAUCUUCUCCAGCAGGUCGUCAAUCCUCGGCAUUGGAUAUGCGUCGAACUCCGAAACGGCGUUCAGUUUCCUGAAGUCGAUGCAUAUCCGCAGUGAGUCGUCUUUUUUGGGAACGAUCACCACCGGACUGCUCCACUCUGAGUUGGACGGCUCGAUGACACCUAGCUCCAGCAUCUUCCUCACCUCAUCGUUCAGCCUUCCCACCAACUUCUGUGGUACCCGAUAAGGCCGUUGCCGGAUUGGUCGUCCAUCUUUGAGCCGUAUGGAAUGGCUAAUGAGUGUAGUUCUUCCUGGCUGUGCAGAAAAAAGAGAUGGCGUUUCACGAAAUAAGUCCAUUAUCUGUGUAGUCUGUUCCGGAGGUAAAUGUGACAGAGACGGAGGGGUUGAGUGAGUCAGUGCUCCCAGAUCAGAGUCCAAGUCUUCCUCAGUCUUCACAGCCCUGACUAGCAAAGACUUCUCUGUUGGAUGGUUAGCACCUUCCUUCCACUCUUUAAGUAGAUUCACGUGGUAUGUCUGCUUUUCUUUCUUUUUGUCAGGAUGGUGCACCUCAUAGGUGACAGGUCCCAUCCUGCGGAGAAUGGUGUAUGGCCCUUGCCACUUUGCCAGUAGUUUGCUGGUACAAGAGGGAAGAAGUAGCAGAACCUUCUGACCUGGACAAACUGGAUCACACCCCUUUCUGAGGUCUUUGUGGAUUUGGCCUCCCAGCUCUUCUUGAGGAGAUCCAGUGGGCCUUGGACAUCCCAGCCAUAGAGGAGUUCGAAUGCAUCCUCUUCAGGGUCUGGUUGAAACGUUCCACCAAGCCAUUGGUCUGUGGGUGGUACGGUGUCGCCUUGAUGGCAGUGAUGCCAAGCUGCUGUUGGAACAGUUUCAUCAACCGAGAGGAGCUGUAAUGGUGCGCAGGGGAAAAGCUUCUGGGAACCGUGUAGCAUAAUCACAGACCACCAGGAUGUAUUCGUGACCGCUACCGCUCUUAGGUAAAGGUCCAACAAUGUCCAUGGCUAUUCUCCUGAAUGGAGUGGAAAUUAUAGGAAGUGGGUGUAGUAAUGCUCUGUCAGACUUGUGUGUUAUUGCAGUUUUCUGGCAGGUAGGACAUGUUGCACAGUACGUCUGAAUGUCAGUGUACAUUGAUGGCCAGAAAAAACGUGAACUAACCCGCAGAUAGGUUUUGUGACGACCCAGGUGACCCGCCCAUGGGAGUGUGUGCGCUAAGUGCAUGACGAGUGGCCUGCAGGUGGUUGGAAGAACUAACCGUCUCAGUGGAGCGGUUUGAAUGGGAAGACGCUGAUCCCCACCCGACGGCCGUGCAGACGCUCCUCGUCGAGCGUUGAGAUACUGCAGCGCAAGCCGGGCAGCGGUGAGGCCAUCCUCCGGGUCGUGCUCCUUCACCCACGUCCUCACGUCAGCUGGAAGCACACGCAGCAGCUGCUCCAGGAUGACGAUCUCCCCGAUCUGCUCCUUGCUGUGUUGCUCUGGGCGGAUCCAGCGACGGUAGAGGCCCUUCAGGCGGUGGUAUGUCUCAGUCGGAUUCUCCCCAGAUGGCACCACAGUAGACCGGAACUGCUGACGGUAAGUCUCUGGCGAGAUGUCAAAUUUUACCAGGAGUGCGUCUUUCAGGUCCUUGUAGAUGUGGGCUUGCUGCUCGUCCAUUGCUGUGUAGGCCUCCAACGCCUUUCCGGACAGCAGUGGCACCAGGCGACAUGCCCACUCAGUCUCUGGCCAUCUCCACGUCCUGGCAAUCCGUUCAAAACGUAGCAGCUGGAGUCCUCCUGUGCCACUGGAUGCCGUCGACGGGACGUUGCAGCUGGUGGUGGCAGAUCCAACCUUGGGCUACUCACUGCGGCUGAGCUUGGUCCAGCGGCUUUGGGACUGAUGUUACGCCGCCGACCAGAAUGGUGCUCUGCCCUGGAAAAAGAGGCUUCCAAACCUUGGAGGGCAGCGAUGAAUCUGUCCUCCCGCUGCUGCUGUCCGCGGAGGAAGUCUCCCAUCAUAGCCGCCAAGUCACCUUCUGGGCCUUUGGUCAGGCCUGGAGAACCACCAGAGGCACCAGGAUCUACCACCUCCUCCUCAGAGGAUGAAUUGGACAACAGAGGGACUGCAUCCGAUGUUGGUUCCAUCUCCUCCUUCUGGGAACGCAGACCUCUGUGUCUCACCUUUUUGCGGCCAGCCAUCUGCUUAUCCCACUUCUGACACCAACUGUCGUGGGUCCCACCAGGGAAUGAUUGGGCAGAGGCGCCAAGGUGAAAGUAUUCUUGACUUUAAUGCAAGAACAGAGCACACCAAUUGCUCCACAAAGGU